rnacentral:rRNA from 1 species
UACGAAGGGGGCUAGCGUUGCUCGGAAUUACUGGGCGUAAAGGGCGCGUAGGCGGAUAUCUAAGUUGGGGGUGAAAGCCCGGGGCUCAACCUCGGAAUAGCCUUCAAUACUGGAUAUCUUGAGUUUGGGAGAGGGAUGCGGAAUUCCAGGUGUAGCGGUGAAAUGCGUAGAUAUCUGGAGGAGCACCGGUGGCGAAGGCGGCAUCCUGGACCAACACUGACGCUGAGGAGCGAAAGCCAGGGGAGCAAACGGG